UGGGGAAUAUUGGACAAUGGGCGCAAGCCUGAUCCAGCAAUGCCGCGUGUGUGAAGAAGGCCUGCGGGUUGUAAAGCACUUUAAGCAGGAAAGAAGGCUUCAGGGUUAAUACCCUUGGGGAUUGACGUUACCUGCAGAAUAAGCACCGGCUAACUCCGUG
rnacentral:rRNA from 1 species